rnacentral:rRNA from 1 species
GACCAGACUCCUACGGGAGGCAGCAGUGGGGAAUAUUGCACAAUGGGGGAAACCCUGAUGCAGCGACGCCGCGUGAGCGAUGAAGUAUUUCGGUAUGUAAAGCUCUAUCAGCAGGGAAGAAGAUGACGGUACCUGACUAAGAAGCCCCGGCUAACUACGUGCCAGCAGCCGCGGUAAUACGUAGGGGGCAAGCGUUAUCCGGAUUUACUGGGUGUAAAGGGAGCGUAGACGGCGAUGCAAGCCAGAUGUGAAAGCCCGGGGCUCAACCCCGGGACUGCAUUUGGAACUGUGUGGCUGGAGUGUCGGAGAGGCAGGCGGAAUUCCUAGUGUAGCGGUGAAAUGCGUAGAUAUUAGGAGGAACACCAGUGGCGAAGGCGGCCUGCUGGACGAUGACUGACGUUGAGGCUCGAAAGCGUGGGGAGCAAACAGGAUUAGAUACCCUAGUAG